UCUAACAGCUUCAAGUGAGUUCAACCAGAAUUUCAUUUUGCUGAACUGGCCUGAUUUGGGAUGCAAACUGACCUCUGAAAGACAGAAAUUUCCUGCAGGAGCAGAAGUUUUCUGAGUUCAGCUCAUUUCCAGCUAGCCCUCACACAGGAGUGUCCUACAGCAAACAAGCAAACAGCCACUCUCACGGUGCAGACAAGAGAGCCACACGGUGAAAUGCAUGCUCUGGAAUUCUGUUGGAGAAGGAAGGAAGCUUGGUUUGAAGACCUGAAGCCAGCCACCCCGAGGGAAUGAGAGAGCACUUUAUGAAGUUGUUAAUGAAGUGAUGGUAAAUAUAAAGCCUUGGUGGAAAGCUGUGGUGCAGGAACAGAUUGCCUGAUUUUCUUCGAGCGAUGGGGAGGUUGUGUGUCAUUAAUAAAACAUCUUC